rnacentral:rRNA from 1 species
UACGUAGGGGGCAAGCGUUAUCCGGAUUUACUGGGUGUAAAGGGAGCGUAGGCGGCUUAGUAAGUCAGAAGUGAAAGCCCGCAGCUCAACUGCGGGACUGCUUUUGAAACUGCCAAGCUAGAGUGUCGGAGAGGUAAGUGGAAUUCCUAGUGUAGCGGUGAAAUGCUUAGAUAUCACGAAGAACUCCGAUUGCGAAGGCAGCUCACUGGACUGCAACUGACACUGAGGCUCGAAAGUGUGGGUAUCAAACAGG